UACAGAGGUCCCAAGCGUUGUUCGGAUUCACUGGGCGUAAAGGGUGCGUAGGCGGUCGGGUAAGUCUGAUGUGAAAUCUCACGGCUUAACUGUGAAACUGCAUUGGAUACUAUUCGGCUUGAGAGUUGGAGGGGGGACUGGAAUUCUUGGUGUAGCAGUGAAAUGCGUAGAUAUCAAGAGGAACACCAGUGGCGAAGGCGAGUCCCUGGACAACUUCUGACGCUGAGGCACGAAAGCUAGGGGAGCAAACAGG
rnacentral:rRNA from 1 species